CACACUUAUCCAUCGAAACGCGUCGUUUUAUCUCAGAACGCGGAACCCCCCACAAGAGUCGGUCUAUGAAGUAAAACCCUAAUGGUGCCAACCCCUAUUUAAAACCCUAGCACGUUAGUUCUCUUCACUUGCCGCCUCUGGUUUGGGGUUUCGAUUUCAUCUCUCUGUUCCUUUCCUAUUCUCUCCUUGCUACUUUAAUGGCUAAGGAGAUAUAAUGGAUGCAGAAAGCAAGAGGUUGGCUUACCAGCCCAUUGCGCACUCUGUAUUGCAUUGAGGUCAAAUGGACCUACCGAAAUUCUCUCCUUUCGGUGAUUUUACUUUAUUAAUUUUCAUUUGCUUGAUCUUUAUGAUAUUGUUGUUCCGAAUGGCAAAUGAUGAGUAUGAAAUCUUAUCCUACACACUGAUCUUGAACUGUGUUGACUACUACUCCGCUUAUUAUCUGAUGCCUUGAAAUUUUCUUCUUCCUAAUGUUCUUGUUUCUCUUUUUUGGCCGAACUUCUUCUGGAAUCAUCAAUCAUCUAUCUAUCUAUCUUUUUUUAUUCCUUUGAUGGUUUUUUUAUAUUCGUUUUGGUUUUUCAAUCAGAGAGAUUGUCCUCUGAUUGAAUCUUCUCAACUGAUUCUUGCACAACCGUGGCAAUUUGGAUGUUUUCAUUUAUUUUCAAUAGCAUUUAUUGGUGGAAAAAAAAUACAUUGUAUCAAGUUUGUUGAUAUAGCAAGCCUGCUAUAAACAGCAAGCUAUAGAUCAGAGACAUUUGAUUUGGAGAAGGCAAAUGAUGAAAAUAGUCUUAUCCUACACUCUGAAGUUAAUGUAGACUAUAACUCCGCUUAUUAUCUGAUGCCUUCUAUCUCCUGGUUAAGAAUCCAAGUAUUUUCCUUUAUUCUUUUUUCUUUUCUGUUUUUUUCUCUGAAAAUAAAUUUCAUCGUUAUUAGCUGUUUUUCCUUUUUGUUAUUGAAACACCAUGAUUGCUGUGAUAUGUGUCAUUAUUAAUUGCUAUAAUCCUCCUGUAUGAAUGAGAUCACCUGAAUGCUGUGAGCUCUCAUGAGCUGUAGUGGAGGAAUUUGACCACAAGUAUAGCCCAUUUAGGUUUUUACAUUUUUGCUUAAAAGAACUCGAUGAUGAGAAAAAGCAGACGGGCGGUCUGAAUCUGAUGCCGUGUUGAUUGUCUGCAAAGUUCCACUUGUGGAAUUUCUCUGAGAGGGCAUCCAGUGUUUUUUUCUUUCUUUCCGCAUUUCCCUUUGUUGAUUGAUUUUAAUUUAAAACUGAAUUGAAUUGAUAGUCAAAUAGAGAGGCAGCAGCACUUGUUUGAUAGAACUGCUAUGAUGAGGUGCUUUAUUUAUGUCUGGACAUAUGAAGUUUGUCUAUGAUUUGUUAUGCAUCUUCUGAGCAGAAAGCAUGUCUGGUUUCUAAUUUGGACAUUUUUUAAUUCUUUCCAUCCUCUCAUUUCACUCGCAUGUUCUCUAUUCUAGUUUUUCUUCUGUCGGCCGUUUGGCUUCAUAAUCUCCUCAAAAAGCAACCUUCGGAAUGCUGGAAAAUGGUUUCUACUCCGAUUUCAUGUUAAUAAAAAAAAUAAAUAAAUCAGAUUACCUUUAGAGAUGCCAAGAAUUCCAAUUAGAUUAUUUUAUCAGUAAGAUUUUUGUCCUUCAUGAAUGGAACUAUGAAUAUAUUAACUACUCAAAAAUUUUACAACACAAGUCUCUAGACCUCGAAGAGAGAGGACAACUCUCUUUUGUUGUUCAAAAAAUAAGCAAAAAAAAAAAAAAAAUCUCUUAGAAAUUGCCGCCUCCACUUUUAAAAAAUGGGUGGGGUUGGAUCGGUUCACUUGGACACUCAAAUCCAUUUCAAUUCAUGUGACGUAAAUAGUGAUAUUAUUAUGAUGGACUCACGGUUUCCUCCUAUUUCAUCUUUUUGAGUUGGACUCAUUUGACAUAAUUAGUAAUAUUCAUCUUUUUAGGAUGGACUUACGGUUUCUUCCUAUUUCAUUGAAACAUGUGAACCAAAACAGGAUUUUUGGAAUGAGAAAUGGACUUUGGAUUUGAAGCGAUA